UCCGUCAAGUUGUGGUUGAGGAAGUAGUGGAGACGACUAAAGAUGAUGUAAUUAUACCACAUGGAGAUGCAGUGACAGUCCAGACAUUUGUUGCUUGGAGAGAACGUUUCGAAGCAGAACUGGCGCUAGAGCGAGCUAAGCUAAUGCCCGAAUCUGCGCUCACGACAACCAAGGAGAAGAAGCUUACUGGGCGAGAGUGGUUUGAAAGAGGA